rnacentral:rRNA from 1 species
UACGUAGGGUCCGAGCGUUGUCCGGAAUUAUUGGGCGUAAAGGGCUCGUAGGCGGUUUGUCACGUCGGGCGUGAAAACUCAGGGCUCAACCCUGAGCGUGCGUUCGAUACGGGCAGACUAGAGGUAUGCAGGGAGAACGGAAUUCCUGGUGUAGCGGUGGAAUGCGCAGAUAUCAGGAGGAACACCGGUGGCGAAGGCGGUUCUCUGGCAUUACCUGACGCUGAGGAGCGAAAGCAUGGGGAGCGAACAGG